AGACUGCUCCUCAGUUUUGCCGGAGUCAAAGCGGUGGAAAGUAGCAAAGGCUGGGAUUGUUUAAUUCCCAGCAUUUUAUUUCUGAGUUACCUGAUCCUGUGUCCUAUGCAGCAAAUGGGAUCCUGGUUUUGAAGGUCCUGCUUCUCUUUCAAAAAUUACAUGCAUUGUACACCAAAAUUGAAUUUCCAUGAUGGUGGACUGUAUAUUGUCAAGAGAACUGGUUCUACUACUCACCAAUAAUGGGCAACUUGGUUGUUUCUAGUCCUGGCUAUUACAAUUAAUGCAGCUAUGAAUAUAGUUGAAUACUAUCAGAGUAUGAUCGAGCAUCUUUUUGAUAUAUUCCCAAGAGUAGAAUUGCUGAAUCCUGAGGUGAUGCAACACUUCAAGACUGAGACAGGAAUUUCAAAUCUUAAUAGAGGAACAGUAGCUUAAGAAGCAGCUUGCUAAUUCUUACAGCUGAGACAGGAGCAGAAGACUCUUAGCUAUAAUGCUGGGAAUCAUAAAAUCCCUGCAUUUGCUGAUUUUCACAGACUGCCUGCUGAGAA